rnacentral:lncRNA from 1 species
GAAAAUUGAAGCAAAACUGUACAUAUGAUAAUAAUAAUAAUAAUAAUAUAUUACACAAUGCAUAAUCUUUGUCUAUAUGUAAAUAUAGUAUCAAAAAUCAUGUGUAAGGGGUUUCUGGGUUAAACACCAUCUGAGGUUUUAGUCGGACGGCAGUGUUGACUUUCGAGGCAACCACGACGAUAGUCGUGAGAAGGUGGACGAGUUUUAUCCUUGGGAUCGGGAAUAUGACAUUUGGGUGGCGGGUUAGAGCCCAAGCAACGGUCAAGCACCCCUGGAUCUAAAUACUUACCUUUACCAGCAGAAACCUCUGCUACAUUUCCUAUUAUCACAACACUACUAAUCAUCAAUAAGCAAAUCACCAAAGUUUUCAUGAUUUCUCUCCUGCUACUCAAGAACAAAUUUUAAUCUUGUGUUUUUAUAUGUUUGUUCUUCGGACUACAAGGGUAUAUAUAGAUAUGUUCAUAUCUAUUUUCCUAAACCAGUAUAGAUAAAAUUAUCCUUUUUUACAUAAUUAACAGAAUUACCUCCUAAAUCAAGUAUAUAGAUUUAUAUUUUUAGAAAUAUACUUUUAGAGCAUAGAAUAGCAAAAAAAAACAAAAGUAAAACUCAAAACUAUGUUGUCAAUUUAGAACAGUCUAACAUUAACUAACCUUUAUUUGACCCCAAAAAAAAAAGAUUAACUAACCAUUAUCUAUUUAGGGAGAAUUUGGUGUAUAUACAAAACACAAAGAUAAAUGAAAAAUAUACUGGUGAUUUUGACAUAAUUAAGUCGAUGACAAUUAGCCCAAUAAAAGCUUGGUUUUGCCUUUUUUAAGUACAAGUUUCCGGUCUGUGUUUCAGAUGAUAUAUACAUAUAUAGCUGCAUACUAUUUACUAGAAGAUAUUUUACAUAAGAUACGUUACAGUUCUAAUAAUCAAAUACGGUUUCAUGGUAUUCAGUAAAAACAUGUGGAAAUUAGUUGAUACAAGAAUUCUAUUUUCACCUAAUCACAUGCUUAAAUUCCAUGGUAUGGAUAUGAGUGGCCUAUAAUAUUUUAAUAAAAUGAAAAUCAGAAAUAUAUACUACUUUUUAAUAUUUUAUUUUUCAUGUACAAUAUAUAGUAUGGGCCAUUUAUAAAAUAGUAUAGAAAAAUGGUUCAUUCUAUUUGCAUUAGUUGAACAUCAUAUAUAAACUAAUAUGAGAAAAAAUAAGAGCUUUUGUUGAUGAAAAAGAUAUCUUUGAAUUAGGCAUGAUCUUAGCUUUUGUCAACCAUUCGAACAAAGACAAAAUUCAUAUUACAAGCAAUUAUACAAUAUACCUAAAGAACAAUACUAUACCAUAAUUUAUUUUCACCAAAUAGUAUAGUCGGCGAGUUUAUCUUUUUCAUUACUUCUUCCUUUUUUCAGACAUUGGUGAUCAUACACAUUCAUCUCUUCUUCGCUACCAUAUAGAUUCGACGAGUUAUCAACUCUUCUUUUAUGACACCACUACAUAUUUACUGUGUCGGCCGCCGUAGUCAUUCUUCACAACUAGAUUUGUAUAAUAUUCGAUGAUGCAAUAAUUCCAACCUGCUUUGCAAGAUUCAAAAUGAAAACAAAUUAUAAAAACAGAGAUAUGAUUGUAAGAAGUGGUGAUCUGAAAAGAGAAGGAAAAAAAUGAAAAAGAAUAAAGUUAAUAGAAGAAAAUAGGAAACCGUGGUGUCGGUUGUUUUGAAGGGUAUUUUAGCAAAUAAGAUAGAAAAUAGGUUGAAUAUCAUAGUCAGUUUUUUUUUUUUAUCUAGAUAAUGAAUUAUAAUUUUUUUGGUUAUCAUAGGGGGCAAUUUCUCUAUUUACUUUGUAGUGGUGGUUAUACUUGGGAGCAAGAGUAUUUGCUAUUUCUCAAUCGUCCGACUUAAUGGGCCUUUAGGCCCAUUACACGGCUCACUCUUAACUCAACUGAUAAGAUGUAAUGGAAGAUUUAAUUAUACUCUAUAAUCUUCUUCUGCACACUCUCUUGUUUCAUUCCGCCGUCGCCGUCGCCGUCGCCGUCUCCGUCGCCUCCUUGUUCGGUGAAAUCUACCCUCCUCGAAGUUUCCGAAGACUACCCAAAACUCUCUUUCUCACUUUAACCCUUAAUCUUCAGUGGGUAACUCUCUUUCUCACUUUGAACUCCUUCUCGAGUGUAGGAAUCACCCACGAUUAAUCUCAUAUUGUAUUCAUGUCUGAUGAUUCACGAAAAUGAUCUGAGAAUCGUAAAGUUUCAAACUUUCAAUUCCAGUCCUAGUUUUGAAUGAUUUUGCUUUAAGACACAUUCUCAAAGUUAGAACCUUUUGGUCCAUUUGUAGACUGUUAUGUCCGAGAUGACAUCAAGAACCGCUGAUAUCCUGCGCGUAAGCUCGCAUCGCGAAGUCUACGAGCCCUGUGACGAUUCAUUUGCUCUAGUUGAUGCCUUACUCGCUGACCAAACCAACCUUAUAAACCACGAUCCCAAGGUUUGUAUGGAGAUUGGCUGCGGAAGCGGAUACGUCAUCACAUCACUCAUCCUCCUCCUCAAAGAGAAGCUUCCCAAUGUUCAUUACAUAGCCACAGACACAAACCAGAUCGCCGCAAGAGUGACAAACGAGACUUUACAAGCUCAUGGUGUCUCUGCUGAGGUUGUCUGCACGGACAUAGCUUCUUGCUUAGAGAAGAGACUCGCUGGGUUGGUAGAUGUGAUGGUGGUGAACCCUCCUUAUGUUCCAACGCCUGAGUAUGAGGUUGGUAUGGAAGGUAUAGCAUCUGCUUGGGCUGGAGGGGAGAAUGGGAGGAGUGUUAUCGAUAGAGUCUUGCCUGUUGUUGAUCGUUUGCUUUCUGAGAAGGGGUGGUUUUAUUUGGUGACGUUGACUUCUAAUUACCCGUCGGAGAUUUGUUUGGGGAUGAGGAAGAGAGGUUAUGCGUCGAGGAUCGUGGUUCAGAGGUCGACUGAAGAGGAGAAUCUUAUUAUACUUAAGUUCUGGAGAGAUAAAGAUGAGGAGGGUGUGGAUAAGGAGACGUCAUCAGAAUCGUUUGUGAAGCAGUUUUCGAGGUCUUUGUCAUCUUUUAUGGAGAAACAAUGGAGGUGAAAUGAUCUCAGCAGCAUUCUUUGUUACAACAACUUGCCAUGUUGCAAAGGCUCCUUUAAAGUCUAUGUUAACCGUGAAUUUUCUAGUGUUGGAUUGUAAUGAAGAUCCGGUUCUGUGUUGGUCCAUCGAUUUUGUAAAUUACUAAUUCGAAUUUGAUUAUAACUUCUUAGUAAAAGUUUAUAUAAGCGAACAUGAUUACAAAUCGAUUAAAAAGAAACUUGAUAUUGUUUUAUGAACUUGAAUAUUCUCUUACUCUAGUGUAUAAAAAAACUAAGUACAGUAUUGGUUUUUCAUCACUCCUCGCUCUUCUGCCAUGUCUUAAGAAUCCUACAACUGCAAAGCCUUUGAGAAUCAUCACAGAGUUCAAGAAGAUCCUGUUUGAGUAUGCAACUCGACUGAAAAUUUUAUCAUCUUUCUCAGUAAAUGGUUCAGUUCAUGCGUAACAUUCAGUUUCAGAUUUCAGUAACAAUCCUUUAAGAAGAAAAAUCUUCCUAAAUUGAAAAUUUUAAAUGAUUCCAAAGUUCAUGCGACUUUUAUUUUUUUUUGUAAGACUUUUCUAAAAUUUUAUUAGUUAGUCUUGCACUCACGCCUUUAAAUUCUCGUCUGAUGAGACAAUUAGUUAUGAUAAUAGGGGCAUAAAAGUUGAGUUGUACAACAAAAAUAUGUGGGGUAUAAAAUUUCACCUUAUUUUAAUUUCUUGAUACAAUAAAAGUAUAAGUUAUUUUGUAAAAAAGAUAAAAUAGAAGUUGGAGCUUUUAAUUGUUUUUCGGGACUGAAAAAGUUUAUGAAAGUCAAAGUGUAAUUGGUAAAUUAUCGAUUUUACAAACUUUAGAUCAUUGUAAAUUUCUUAAAAUUUUAAAAGUCAAAUCCCCAAUUAUAAUCCAACACUUUUUCCACUUUGCGCGCCUAAGAACAUCCGCAUUCGUUACAUUUUGCAAGAAUCUCUCAUGAAAUUAAUAUAAAAACUAAAAGCAAGAAAGAGAAAAGAGAAAAAGUAGAAGUACGCUCCUACAUUAAAAAUGUUGAACUUGUUAGGAGAGACUAAUUCUACACGUGUCUGCACCUAAAAUUUUAUGACAUCAAUUUUAGUCAAUUUUUCUAUUUUACUUCAUAAUACUAUUAUACUAGGUUAAGAUCUGCGACUUGCGCGGAAUGAAUAUUAUAUAUAAAUUAUUUUUAAAUAUUAUAUAUGUUUUACAUAUUAUGAAAUAAUGAAUAAUUAAAAAUUUAGUAACUAUUACGUAUAUAAUUAAAUUGGUACAAAUACUUAAAUAAAUUUUAUUUCUCCAUACAAACACUUUUUUCUAUUUUAUAUGUUAUAAAAUUAAGUUUAAAUGAUAUUAACAUAGAUAUAUAGUAUAUUUUUAAUAUUGACAUCUGUUAAAAAAUAUUUUAUACUCAUAUUAUUUUUGAUCGUUUGUAUUUCUUUGUAACAAAAAUUUUAAAUCAAUGAUAACAAUAAAAAAUUUAUGAGAUGUUUAAUAGUUUUAGUAAUUUAUAAUUUUAAAAACAUUCAAUGCAAAGUUUAAAAUCUAAAUAUUAAGUUGUCAAUAAUUGUUUAAAAUGUUUAUCAAAAAAUUUCAAAUCAAAUUCUAAAUUAAAAUACUUAUGUAUUUUAUAUGGUAUAUAAUUUAUUUUUAAAAAAUAUUAAUAUGCAUAUAUAUAAUAUUUAUUAAAUGAGACUUCUUACUUAUGUAAUUUCAUAAUCAUUUGUAUCUUAUUAUAACAUAAAUUUUAAACCAUGGAUCACAAAAAUUUCAGUGUGAGAUUUUUAACAACUUUAGUCAUUUAUAUUCAUUUUUUUUAACUCAAAAUAUAACAUAUACGAAAAAAUCUAAAAUUUUAUUAUAUAGUUGAUGUGGUUGUUUAAUUUAUUUUAAAAUGAAUUAAAAAUGAUAGAGAAUAGACUAAUUUUUAUCAAAUUUUUAUUAUUCAAAAUAAUUAAUUGUCAUAUAUACUUUAGCCACAUUAGGUAAUUCCGUGAUUUUUAUUUAGGGAAACAAUGAAGAACAUUUAUGAUUAAUUUAUAGUUAGUUUAAUAAAAAGCUUAUUAUAUAUUUAUAUGGACUAAUUAUAUUUUUCUAAGGAUUCUAAAAAUGGUUGUGGUGAUGACAUGUGGCUACAAAAAUAUGUUGUAAUGCUUCUCUUUUAAUAUAUAGGGGAUAUACUGAGAGACUCAGUUUAAGAAAUUCAUUACUAAUGAUGCUCUAAUAGCAUGAUUAAUGGAGGGUUUUAAAGUGGAGUUCUUAGCGGAAUAUAAGAAACCAUCUCUUAAUUUUUAACUAAAAAAACUAAGAAUCGGCUCUUAAAUUAAGAACCGGCUAAGAAUUUCACCCUCCAUUAGUCAUGUUCUAUCUAAGCUGUAGGAAUCAUGAUUGAUUCCAGUUCUCACUUGUAUGGUUCUAUUUAGACAAAAAAAAAACUAAAAAUAUCAACAGGGUUUCUUGUGUGUUUAUUGGACCUCUUACAUAGGCUAGUUGUGAAGAUUGACAUAGUCAUGGGAAUAAAUCGAGUUUAAUGAACCCCAUCGUAGGUGAAGGACAAAGACAUAAGUUAACAAGUUGUUAAAAGAAUAAGCACAUGUCUUGUCUACGUCGAGGACUCUUCUUCAGGUCAGGCGGCGGCUAUAUGAUUUCCACACGCUGCCUGCUCAUUAUAUAAAACCUCACGCUUUAAUCUGCAACUGGAGAUAUUACACACCUAAAACAUUUAAAGACACCAACACAGAGACAGAAAUGAAGAAAAAUUUGUGGUUGGUUGCUUUGUUUUUGGUUCUCUCUUUGGUAAUUUCAUCUUAUGCAGCUUCAGCUCAACCAUACCAAUUCCGGAAACUUUGUAAGGAGUUCUAACUAUUUAUCAUCCGAUUUUGCUCCGUAUAUUCCAUUUUAUUUUACUAACUAAAGUUAAUUUAUCCAACAGUGCAAAGAGNNNNNNNNNNNNNNNNNNNNNNNNNNNNNNNNNNNNNNNNNNNNNNNNNNNNNNNNNNNNNNNNNNNNNNNNNNNNNNNNNNNNNNNNNNNNNNNNNNNNAAGGAAGCAACUUAUCUCAUACUGACCGUAGCCAAACGCGAGAUUCUUUUCGAGGGGUUGCAGAUGAAAAUCGAGUAACCUGCAAGACGGAUGCGCGGCUUGGAACAAGGACAAUCUGAUGGCGGGUUGGCUUGAAUUUUCUCAGGCCAAAAGCUCAAGUUCCCAAUCAAAGGAUCAGUGAUUGAACGCUCGAUUGGAUAACCCCUAAUCGCAGAAGCCUCCGCAAUUAGAUCAGCCCUCUGCAUGGCGAUCACUCUUGAUAUCACCGCUCUCGAUGUGUUCUCCGACAAUCUAACGCUCGUACGAGCAAUCUCCGGCAUCACUCAGGCUAAGGAAAUCAUCGGGAUUGUGAAAGACAUCCGUUCGAUAUCUACUUACCUUGCAUCAUUUUGUUUUCGCAUUUCUCUCGAUCUCUGAACGCUGAGGCUGAUGCAUUAGCGAAAGAGACUCUUCGAACUUCUUUUCAUUGUAACAAACCUAUUAGGCCUGGGCCUCUCGGGGCUUAUUCUUUACUUUUAGUUUUUAAUGAAGUUAAUUAGUGACAAAAAAAGUUUCUUUUGCAAGUUGAACAUUAGUAUAAAUAUGAUUGUAAUGUGAUGAGAAGAAAAACUUUGGCCUGCCCUCUAUAGCAGCUACUCCUUCACCUAUGUGUAAUAAAAUCGUUGUCUUUUUUCCUGAAAACAAGCUUAAGCUUUUCUAUGUUCUUAAAUUUAUGUUUUGCACAAUAAAGCUACUCUUAUGAGCUAUUUCAUUUCAAAUUUAUCUUUGACUAAGUUUUCUCUCAUUAGCAAGGCCAAAGCAGUGGGAGAUACAGCAUGAGAGCUGCCGUCUAUAUAUCGUGGAUGUUUUGUAGUUUGCUGCGACAAUAUGACUUCUCUCUUAUUAAUCAUUCAUGACCUAAGAGUUCUUUAUAACUUCAGUUUAAACAUGGACUUAUAAGAUGUACCUCUUUCAAGAGGAAGAAGAAACGUUAUUAAUAGUAUAAUCUAGGAAUGGACCUAUAUUCUCCAUAUGUACCCAUCAGACACUCAAAAUUUAGAGGCUCUCAAAUGUGUAAGAGCAUUUUGAUAACGUGCAACAAGGACUCAUUUUGAAGUCGAAGAUAAGAAAUGUGAGUAUGUACUGCGACCUCCUGUCGAGUAGUUCUUUUCAUCGUUAGCAAAGGUACUACAAAACAACAACAAAAUUGCAUUUAAAUAUUUGUUAGAAACUACAUAAUCUUCAAUUGUAAACGUGUGUGUGGAUGAGCUUAACUAUUGAAACAGAAAGAGACUAAAUCAUCUACGACAAAACCUGGUCUUCAUUUUGUUUGUUUUUCGUCUUCAAAGUCUUCUUUAGUCAUAUAUGUAUUUUAUGUUCAUUUCAGAGUUCAUUCACGCGUUAUUUGAAACUCAUAUUAAAAAACUAGGCAAGGAACCCGUGCGAUGUCGCACGGUAACUCAUUUAUAAAAAUAGAUAUUUCACAUUUUAUAAGAUAAUCUUUUAUAAAAAAUUGUUUGCAAUUUUUCGUAAAGAAAUAAAUGUUUUACACAAAUAAAUUAUUUUUUAUAAUGAGAAGAUACGACUCUUUAAAACUAAAUAAUUGUAGAAACAUACUUAUUGGAAUAUUUCAAUUAUUUUUAAACUAAUUUAUUUAACAAUGAAAAGACACCACUCUUAAUAUUAAUAGAGUUCAGUUUUUUUUUGGUAUGAAAAGACAUAAUUUUUUCUAUAAUGAAGAAACACAACUCUUACAAUUAAUAAUACAGUUCAGUUUUUCAUAAAAAGAUAUCUUUUUAAUAAUGUAAAAUACAAUUCUUAAAACUAAUACAUUUUUUUUAUAUGAAAAGACUCAAUUUCUAACAUUAUUUCAGAUUAUUAUUACUAGUUUUUUUUAUAAUGAGAUGACAUAACUCUAAAAACUAUUAAUUGUAGAAAGACACCUACUGAGAUUUUUUAACUACUUUUAAACUAAUUUAUUUUUAUGAUGAAAAGUUACAACUUAAAACUAUCUAUCUCCCCAUUCGAACGAGAGAAUUGAAUUGAUAUAGAGUUCAUUUUUCAUAAAAGACACAAUUCUUAAAAUGAAUAGAGUUUAGUUUAUUGUGAAAAGAAAAACUUUUUUUUAUAAUGAAGAUACACAACAUAUCAAACUAAUAGACUUCAUUCAUUUUUAUAAAAAAGGCAUACCUUUCUAAUAUAUUCUACUACGUAAAAACACAAUUCUUAUAACUAACAUAUUUCAGUUUUUGUGAAAAGACACGUCCAAACAAAUUUUUCAAAGUCUGAGUCCAAUGACAUUUCUUCGUUCGUACAGAAGUAUAACACUAAUUUGACAAAAGGUGUCAAAAAACGAGAAAUCACCUUGGAACAAGUGGGACUACAGCCAUUGAUAUCUCUCCAUUCUCUAUUAUUGCAAGCCUUUAGUGAAAAAAAAAAAUUUGAAGAGAAAAAGAUGGUACCAACUUCGUUGUUCCAAAACUCAUUAAUAUUUAAUUAAUGGAAUCUAGUAAACACCUACAAAUAUAGAACAAGACGUAACUUUCAUUAAUAAAAAUCUCAAAAGAUAUAAAAGAACCAAUGGAAAGAGUACAAUAUCAGAGAGGAUGACAUAUAUAAAUAAAUCUUUUAAAGAGGUGCCAUUGUUAUUCGAGGAAGACGUUGGUUCAGGGAUGACAAAAGAUGUUGUUUGCUUUAAGAAACAAAGAUGUCGUUUGCUUCACCAGGAGAUGCAUUUUGUUUUUCCUAUAAAAAAUGAUAACAUCAACAGUUAACCAAAAAAAACAGGUUUGCUAAUUAGGAGGCGCAUGAAUAACAAAUAAAGUUUUGUGUUUGAUUUGUUUCUUCAAGAUCUUUGAUGAUCAAUUGAAAAAGUGAAUCUCUCUUUUUCUCUCUAUUUUUUUUAUUUAUUUUUAAUUAUGAUUUGCUAAUACACACAACUUUACAACUCUUUAUAUAGAGAGUUAAAUGUUACAAUGAUUAAUAACCAAUACCAAAAAUUGCAAUGGUUCAUAACCAAAAUUUACUAUUAUGAAUAGUUGCAAUAGUUCAUCUGUAAAGACUACAAUCACCAAUAGGUACAAUAAUUUAUAGAUAUAUCUUACAAAAAAAUUAAAUUAUCCAAAAAUUAAAAUUUCUGACAUUCAUAGAUAAUUUUAAUAUUAUAUUUAAAUGUAUAUAAAAUAGAUAGGAAAAUAAAAAAAAUAUAACUCAUUUAAAAAGUUAUGCAUAAUUUAGGAUAACAAUAUAUGUCCUCAGCAAUUUUGAGAAUCCUUAAAAAAUUAUGCAUUUUUGUAAAAUAAAAAACACAUCUUUAGACAAAAAAAGCUUUGAAUAAUAUUAGAAAAAUUUAUGAGAAAAAUCUAUAUUACCCUUGUUCGUCAUGUUUUUGUGUUCUUGUCUGUGUUAAUGGUGGUGAGUUGGGGAUUAGAGAGAUGUGAGGCCACUGGGAAGUUCAGCUUCGAAGUUCACCACAUGUUCUCUGAUGCUGUCAAGCAGACUCUAGGGCUUGACAAUCUUGUUCCCGAGAAGGGAAGUAUGGAGUACUUCAAGGUUUUGGCCCACCGUGACCAGUUGAUCAGGGGUCGAGGUCUUGCUUCCAACAACGAAAAGCCAUCCGUCACGUUCAUGCGGGAAACCUCACGAUUGGAGUCGACGUUCUGGGAUCGUAACGCCUCUUCUCCUCUUGGUUAACAAGAAUCAUGUUUUGAAUAUUAUUCAUGUUUAUUGAAUAUAAUUUGCUUUCAGCCUCCAUUAUGCCAAUGUCUCUGUGGGAACACCGGCUAAUUCGUGGCUCUGGACACGGGCAGCGAUUUGUUUUGGUUGCCUUGUAACUGUGGUACAACGUGUAUCCGUGACUUGAAAGAUAUUUGGACUUCCACAGGUACCUUUCUCCUCAAGAAAGCAUAUACUCUUUUUCUUUUGUUUUUUUUUAAUUCAUACUUUCUCUUAAAGUGAUAUUUUUCGUUUCUCUUCUUUUGACACAGAGUCGACCACUCAAUAUAUACAGCCCCAACGCAUCUUCUACGAGCUCAAGCAUUAGAUGCAGUGACAAGCGUUGUUUUGGAUCGAGAGGAUGUUCUUCUCCUGCAAGUAUUUGCCCUUAUCAGAUCCAGUACCUUUCUAACAACACAUUCACCAGAGGGAACUUGGUCGAGGAUGUGUUGCAUUUGGUCACAGAGGAUGAUGGUCUAGAGCCUGUUAAAGCUAAUGUCACGCUUGGGUAAGUAAUUACUUUGUUUAAUUUUUUUUUUUUUUUUUUGCAUUUUGACAUGUGUUUGGGAUGCAGUUGUGGUCAGAAUCAGACAGGUUUGUUCGGGGAAGGUAUUGCUUUGAACGGUCUUCUCGGCUUGGUUUGGAAGAUUACUCUGUUCCAAGUGUACUGGCAAAAACAAAUAUUACCGCAAACUCCUUCUCAAUGUGUAUUGGGAAUUUCAUUGACGUUAUUGGGAGAAUCAGCUUCGGAGACAAAGGCUACACAGACCAGCAGGAGACGCCACUAGUUCCUGUUGGACCAAGGUAUCCAGUUUGAUUCUGACAUGAGUUUCAAAAGUUGUUCAGUUUGGUGUUUGUAGAUUAGUGAAAAUUUAAUUUGAAAAAUACAUAGGAGAGACUAUUUAUAGAUUUUUUAAAACCUAUUUGAAUAGUCAUAAUCUUUCAAUCUGAAUAGUCGCAUUUUUAUAAUACUCACAACUUCUCAUUUUUAAAAGAUACUUAUGAAUAGUCACAACUUUUAGACAAUUUUUAUAAGGACACAACCUUACAACAUAGAACUUUUAGAAAAGACACAAAUCUCUACACAUAUUUUUCGAAAGACAUAACCUUUCAACAUAACUAAAUUUCACAACCUUAGGGAUUAAUUGGAAAAGACACAACCUUACAACAUAGAACUUUUAGAAAAGACACAACCCUCUACACUUCUUUUUAAAAGACACAACCUUUCAACAUAACUGAAGUUCACAACCUUAGGAAUUAAUUGGAAAAGACACAACCUUACAACAUAGAACUUUUAGAAAAGACACAACCAUUUACACAUCUUUUAUAAAAGACACAACCUUUCAACAUAAGUAGAUUCACAACCUUUGAAAUUAAUUGGGAUUGCUAUUAUUAGUAGAUAUAAUUUCACUCUUCAUAACUUUUUAAAUCAAUAUCCUCCAUAACUUUUUUUUUUUUUUGAACUUAUCCUCCAUAACUUACCCUCCAAGAAAAUCUAUGAAUCAUAAAAGAUUAUAUCUUGAAAGACUGCAUCAUCACCGCUUCGAAGUAAAGAUGAAUGAAAAUCAUCAGAAAGACCCAUUUAAUUAAAUAUUGAGUAUGAUUAUAGUCACACCUUUGGUUCAUAUAAAUACACAUAUAUACGUAAAACUUUAAUAUCGCACAACAAGCAAAUACAAAUCAUAAGAAAUGAAGAGAAAGUUGUGGUUCAUUGCUUUAUUUUGUUUCUCUCUUUGGGGAUCUCAUCAUCUUAUAUGGUUUCGUCUCAGCCACACCAAAUCCGUAAACUUAGUGAGUAAUACAUAAGAAAAAGCUCCAUUUAAAAAUAGUUAAUAAAAUCUAAUAUUGCUAUAUAUGUGAUUUUCUGUAUUUUUUCUCUUUAUUCAACUUAUAACUAAUAUUAAUGUAUAUAGUUUCGAUCGGCGCACCACGUAGUUUUUCACCACCGGCGGACCAAUGUUGCUAGAUAGCAAAAGGCGACGAACUAAGAGACCACUCGUAAAGUUUAUUAGUUAGUCUUUUAUUCGUGAUUUUGAACAUUCUUGGCUGAUGACACCACAAUUGAUGAUGUGUGCAUAAAGGUUGAGUUGUACAAGCAAAAUAUUUCACGUUAAAUUUCUCGAGACUUAGUCUUUGUUGUUGUUUAUGCAAAUAACGUUAGUCGUAUCAUAGUAUAAUUAAGGAUAUGUCAGUUCGCAAACGUUUUCCAUUUUCCCUUAGUUGUAGGAAUCAUGAUUGAUUUCAGUUCUCAGCUGUAUUGUUCUAUUAACUGAAUCAAAAACCAAAAAGAAAAAUCAGACAUCAUACAAUUUCCCUAAUUUUUGUGUCAGAAACAAAGCUCCCCCACUCAACAGGUCUUCUUGUGUGUUUAUUGGAAAGUCAUGGGACUUAGUCGCGUUCAAUGAAUCCCAUCGUAAAUGAAGGACAAUGACAUAACAAGUUCACGAAUUGUAAAAGAUUAAGUACAUGUUUGUCUGUAUCCAUGACUCUUCUUCAGGUCAGGCUAUAUGUUUCCCACACGCUACCUGCUCAUUAUAUAUACACCUUAUGAGUUAUGUUGUCAUUUAUACUUGGUACAAAACCACAUAUUACAUAACAGAAUAAAUUUCACCUACGACACCACCAUCAAGACAGAAUAAAAUGAAGGGAAAUUUGUGGUUGGUUGCUUUGUUUUUGGUUCUCUCUUUGGUGAUUUCAUUUUAUGCAGCUUCAACUCAGCCGUACCAAUUCCGCAAACUUUGUAAGGAAUUCCAAAUAUUUAUCAUCUGGUUUUGCUCCCUAUAUUCCAUUUUAUUUUACUAACUACAGUUAAUUUAUCCACCAGUGAAUAUAGAAGCAUCACCUAGUAAGUCAGGAUCUGCGGGCCGUCACUAAAGCUGUUAGCAAGGCGAAAGCAGUGGGAGAUGCAGCAUGAGAGCUGCCGUCGUGGAUGUUGGAUUGACAUGUAUGCGCAUUUAGAUGUAUGAAGAGUUUCAAUUGAACUCUUCAUACCCAAAGUAUAUAAGGAUUAGUAAAUUACAUGUUGUUUGGUCAAAUGUUUGAAAGUUGAAGUCUAACUGUGAAAGCAGAGGAUGAAAACUCCAUUUAAUAACUUUUGAUCAGCUCCAAAAGCUGCGUAAUUUCCUUACUGCAUAAUCCUGUAGUACUUAUUUAUUUUGGUCAUGGAACAUGCAAGUCUAUAUCUAACAAAAACAAAAAUGGAGAAAAGGUGUUAGUCAGUUCAACGAAAAAAAAUUGAGAAAAUGGUGCCUAAUUUUUUUUUGAAACUAACCAUAUGUUUCAUUGGGAUGGAGGAUUUAUGCAUAUAGAUUAAACAUGACACCCUGUAGUCUAAUUUGACUUCGUUAAACUAAACAACCUCGCAUAACUUGAUCGAUAAAAGAAAAGGUCCAAAUGAUUAUUAAACUUUAUGUUAAUUGGUACAUUACUUCUGAGAAGCAUCAUUCAUUGUAAAUGAUUGACAGCUCCACCGCAACAGAUUUCUCUUUCUAUAUUAUAAGGCCAGCAUCAAGCGUUCUUUCAAAAUAAAAGAGAUGAAUUGGAAGUUAGGUUUGCUAAUUGGUUUGAUGCUCCUCUUGUCUAUUACACUAAACCCAACUUUGGCCAGAGUAACUUACUCAUCUCGCACGACAAGUAAGUUUCCAUCACUUUUCUCUUAUAAAAUUGAUUUUUAGUAACACCAUAAGAUGUGGUAACUAAACUAGUAACAAUUAGUUGUGUGUUUAUAUAGAAAUUAUGCAAUUGUUAAUAUGUGCAUUAGUGCAUACAUGCAUACACUGAAAUUAUGUUCACUGUUUCAUUUCAUGCAUGGUUUAUCGAAUUAUAAAUAGAAAAAGGGAUUGGAAAUAUACAUCUCAACAAAGGAAUGAAGAUCGGCUUUAGAGGGAGUGUUUCUAGAUCUGCUCAUCAUGGAAACGAUCCACCUAAUCAUUUAUAAUUGUGACAUGUAAUCAUCUUUCAUCUCGGUAAUCCUUUCCUAUAGCUUUUGAUUUCUUACUAUUCUGUAAAGUGUUGUUUCAUUGCGUCAUAUUGCUCCAAAUGAUGUAUUGUAAAGAAAAUAAAAGAGAGGUGAAUAUCAUUCAUUGAACUAAUUUUUACACACACACACACAUAUAUACACUAUAUUAAUUAAAAUUGAUUAUUGACUCUACAACUAUGAUGAGUUAAAAAUAAUCUUCAGCCAAAUUGAUUAUAUUAUGAAAUGGAAAGAGUACUAGCAAAAAUAAUAUAUAUAUAUAUAUAUAUAUAUAUAUAUAUAUAUAUAUAUAUAUAUAUGAUGCAAGAUUCACUGUGGAUCCGAUAUUUUAAUCUUUAAUUGGACUAUAAAUUUUUUUUUAUCCAAAUCUGAGUAAGUGAUUAAAUAUGAUAUAUGGAUCCAGUUUUGAUUUAUUUUCAAUAUAUAUUUUCGGAAAUAUUUAUAGGAUUUAUGAAAGAAUUAAAAGAAAUUUGUUUAAAUAUCACCUAUACUAAUUGGUGAAAAAUUCUGAAACAAAUCCAUAGGUAUGUUCAAAUGUUAAAAGCCAGUUGCUGUUUAUAUAUACAAUUAUGUAUGUAAGUUCGUUACUUUUCAAAAUUUAAUAAUAUUAUUCUAAUUAUUUUGGUUAUUUUUACUAAUAUAAAUAUCUGUGAAUAAUAAAUUUAUAUUAUAUUAUUUGAAGGUAAUUGAUCGAUACAUUUAUCACAAUACAUUAUUUCAAACUUAUGUUGGAAAUUGCAUGCCAAAAAAUACUUGAAAAAAUAGUCCGAAAAUUGAAGCAAAACUGUACAUAUGAUAAUAAUAAUAAUAAUAAUAUAUUACACAAUGCAUAAUCUUUGUCUAUAUGUAAAUAUAGUAUCAAAAAUCAUGUGUAAGGGGUUUCUGGGUUAAACACCAUCUGAGGUUUUAGUCGGACGGCAGUGUUGACUUUCGAGGCAACCACGACGAUAGUCGUGAGAAGGUGGACGAGUUUUAUCCUUGGGAUCGGGAAUAUGACAUUUGGGUGGCGGGUUAGAGCCCAAGCAACGGUCAAGCACCCCUGGAUCUAAAUACUUACCUUUACCAGCAGAAACCUCUGCUACAUUUCCUAUUAUCACAACACUACUAAUCAUCAAUAAGCAAAUCACCAAAGUUUUCAUGAUUUCUCUCCUGCUACUCAAGAACAAAUUUUAAUCUUGUGUUUUUAUAUGUUUGUUCUUCGGACUACAAGGGUAUAUAUAGAUAUGUUCAUAUCUAUUUUCCUAAACCAGUAUAGAUAAAAUUAUCCUUUUUUACAUAAUUAACAGAAUUACCUCCUAAAUCAAGUAUAUAGAUUUAUAUUUUUAGAAAUAUACUUUUAGAGCAUAGAAUAGCAAAAAAAAACAAAAGUAAAACUCAAAACUAUGUUGUCAAUUUAGAACAGUCUAACAUUAACUAACCUUUAUUUGACCCCAAAAAAAAAAGAUUAACUAACCAUUAUCUAUUUAGGGAGAAUUUGGUGUAUAUACAAAACACAAAGAUAAAUGAAAAAUAUACUGGUGAUUUUGACAUAAUUAAGUCGAUGACAAUUAGCCCAAUAAAAGCUUGGUUUUGCCUUUUUUAAGUACAAGUUUCCGGUCUGUGUUUCA